GUAGUCAAUUAUUACUUAAUAUACACAUGCAAGUAUCCGCUCCCCUGUGAAAACGCCCUUCAACCCCCAUUAGGGACAAGGAGCCGGUAUCAGGCACAAUGCUUGCCCAAGACACCUAGCUUUGCCACACCCACAAGGGAUUUCAGCAGUGAUUAACAUUGAAUAUUAGCGUAAGCUUGAUUCAGUUAAAGUAAAUUAGAGCCGGCCAAUCUGGUGCCAGCCGCCGCGGUUACACCAUGUGGCUCAAAUUGACCACUUCCGGCGUAAAGCGUGAUUAAAGUUAUCUUCUAAUAGAGUUAAAUUAAAACUAAGCUGUGACACGCCUGUUUUUAAGAAAUUCUUAAACGAAAGUUACUCUAAUUUAACCAACUUUGAAU
rnacentral:rRNA from 1 species